UACAGAGGUCUCAAGCGUUGUUCGGAUUCAUUGGGCGUAAAGGGCGCGUAGGCGGCGGGGUAAGUCGGGUGUGAAAUCUCAGAGCUCAACUCUGAAAUGGCACUUGAUACUGCUCUGCUAGAGGACUGGAGAGGAGAUUGGAAUUCACGGUGUAGCAGUGAAAUGCGUAGAGAUCAUGAGGAAGACCAGUGGCGAAGGCGGGUCUCUGGACAGUUCCUGACACUGAGACGCGAAAGCGUGGGGAGCGAACAGG
rnacentral:rRNA from 1 species